UACGUAGGGUGCAAGCGUUUGUCCGGAUUUAUUGGGCGUAAAGAGCUCGUAGGCGGUUUGUCGCGUCGGAUGUGAAAACCCAGGGCUCAACCCUGGGCCUGCAUUCGAUACGGGCAGACUAGAGUAUGGCAGGGGAGACUGGAAUUCCUGGUGUAGCGGUGAAAUGCGCAGAUAUCAGGAGGAACACCGGUGGCGAAGGCGGGUCUCUGGGCCAAAACUGACGCUGAGGAGCGAAAGCGUGGGGAGCGAACAGG
rnacentral:rRNA from 1 species